UACGGAGGGUGCAAACGUUGCUCGGAAUCAUUGGGCGUAAAGCGCACGUAGGCGGUCGGCUAUGUCGGAUGUGAAAGCCUCGGGCUUAACCCGAGAAGGGCAUCCGAAACUGGCCGGCUUGAGUACGGAAGAGGGUCUCGGAAUUCCCGGUGUAGAGGUGAAAUUCGUAGAUAUCAGGAGGAACACCGGUGGCGAAGGCGGCCCUCUGGACGGUGACUGACGCUGAGACGCGAAAGCGUGGGGAGCAAACAGG
rnacentral:rRNA from 1 species